GUUUUUUUAGCCGAGUGGUUAGGGCGUGUGCCUGCUAAGUACAUGGCGUUUUCCCAACGAUAGUCCAAAUCUCUCAAGCAAGCA
rnacentral:tRNA from 1 species